rnacentral:rRNA from 1 species
UACAGAGGUCUCAAGCGUUGUUCGGAUUCAUUGGGCGUAAAGGGUGCGUAGGCGGCGCGGUAAGUCGGGUGUGAAAUCUUGGAGCUUAACUCCGAAACUGCAUUCGAUACUGCCGUGCUUGAGGACUGGAGAGGAGACUGGAAUUCCUGGUGAGCGGUAGAAAUGCGCAGAUAUCAGGAAGAACACCCGUGGCGAAGGCGGCUCUCUGGGACGGUACUGACGCUGAGACGCGAAAGCGUGGGGAGCGAACAGG